UAGUAGGAUAAGCUAAGUUGAAGCUGUCGGGUUCAUACCUCGAAUAUGGUAUUGUAAGACCUCCUAUUAU
rnacentral:tRNA from 1 species